AAUCAAUUUCUUCCAGCUUUCUAAUAUCUCUCCCAUUAAGCCUUCUGAGGAGAGGAACUACACCUGUUUUAUCUUGGUAACUAGCACUUUGCACCAUGCCUGACACAGAGGAGGUGUUUUAAAACUGUCUUUCAAUGGAUUACCACAGAAAAAAGUUGCUCACCUCUAGAAGAUGCUAGAGCAGGUACAGUGGAAAGAGCAUGGACUUGGAGGGCAGACAAAGGCAUGGACUUCGUGUUGAACUGCAGGUUUGAGCCAAGGAAUGGUGAGGAAUAGAUUUCUCAACAAAGCAAGUGCUCACAUAAGCUGCUGAAGUCUUAAAUGGAGAGCAGAGAUAGCUGGAGUCCUGUGGGUACUUUAAGGGAGUUUCAGAUGUUAAGAGAUUCAGAGACACAGGUGCUGAGACUCCCAAAGGCAGUGUCCCAGAGAUGUGUUGCUGC
rnacentral:lncRNA from 1 species